ACCUGGAUAGUUUAAUGGUAAAAUAUCGGUCUCCAAAACCGGAGUUCUUCGUUCGACUCGAAGUCUAGGUGCCA
rnacentral:tRNA from 1 species